rnacentral:rRNA from 1 species
GUGCACGCUGGCGGUAGGCCUAACCCAUGCCAGUCGAACGGCAGCACAGUAAGAGCUUGCUCUUACGGGUGGCGAGUGGCGGACGGGUGAGGAAUACAUCGGAAUCUACUUUUUCGUGGGGGAUAACGUAGGGAAACUUACGCUAAUACCGCAUACGACCUACGGGUGAAAGCAGGGGAUCUUCGGACCUUGCGCGAUUGAAUGAGCCGAUGUCGGAUUAGCUAGUUGGCGGGGUAAAGGGCCACCAAGGCGACGAUCCGUAGCUGGUCUGAGAGGAUGAUCAGCCACACUGGAACUGAGACACGGUCCAGACUCCUACGGGAGGCAGCAGUGGGGAAUAUUGGACAAUGGGCGCAAGCCUGAUCCAGCCAUACCGCGUGGGUGAAGAAGGCCUUCGGGUUGUAAAGCCCUUUUGUUGGGAAAGAAAAGCAGCAGGUUAAUACCCCGCUGUUCUGACGGUACCCAAAGAAUAAGCACCGGCUAACUUCGUG